rnacentral:rRNA from 1 species
CGGUGCGAUCACUCCAACGAUAAAGCACCGUAUCCCAUCAGAACUCUGCAGUUAAGCGCGCUUGGGAUAGAGUAGCACUGGGAUGGGUGACCUCCUGGGAAGUCCUAGUGUUGCACCCU